ACGUCCGUUGUACUCAACGGGAACCAUUAGGUCAGUUGUGUGCGUUAAUGUUAAUUUGAAAUGUUAGGCUUUUCGAAUUAUUGGGUGGGAAAGAAAGAAAGAAAGUUUUUGGAUUUUUUAACGAAGGACUAAACCUAAGUUUUUUAUUAGUGGGCCUGACAAGAUUUAUAAAUCCUGCUCCUACGUAUCUCAAAAGAGAAAUCAAGGCUUACGUAGUUCUGGGUAGAAAAAU
rnacentral:lncRNA from 1 species